UAAAGCAAGAAAGGGCGUAUGGGGAAUGCCUAGGCACACUCCGGCGAAGAAGGACGCAGCAAACAGCGAAAUGCGACGGUGAGCGGUAAGCACGUGAAGAGCCGUCGAUAUCCGAAUGGGGGAACCCACACGGAGUCAUAUCCGUGUAUCACAUGUCGAAUACAUAGACAUGAUGAGGCGAGACGCAGGGAACUGAAACAUCUAAGUACCUGCAGGAAGAGAAAAUAAGAAUGAUUUUCUGAGUAGCGGCGAGCGAAAGGGAAAGAGCCCAAACCGAUUUGAGGAUCGGGGUAGUAGGAUCAUCGAGGAAUCUGACAGAGGAUCAUAGAGGAAUCACAUGGGAAGGUGAGCGAGAGAGGGUGAGAGCCCCGUACUCGAAAUGAGAGACUGGAGAGAGAUGACACCUGAGUAGGGCGGGACACGAGAAAUCCUGUCUGAAUCAGCCGGGACCAUCCGGCAAGGCUAAAUACGAGAGAGUGACCGAUAGUGAACCAGUACCGUGAGGGAAAGGUGAAAAGAACCCCGGGAGGGGAGUGAAAGAGAACCUGAAACCAUAUGCCUACAAGAAGUCAGAGCCCGUUAAAGGGUGAUGGCGUGCCUUUUGUAGAAUGAACCGGCGAGUUACUGUAUGGAGCGAGGUUAAGCAGGAUAUGCGGAGCCGAAGCGAAAGCGAGUCUUAAGAGGGCGCGAGUUGCAUGCAGUAGACCCGAAACCGGGUGAUCUAGCCAUGACCAGGUUGAAGUUGGGGUAAAACCCGAUGGAGGACCGAACCGACCCCCGUUGAAACGUUGGCGGAUGAGUUGUGGCUAGGGGUGAAAUUCCAAUCGAACCCGGAGAUAGCUGGUUCUCCCCGAAAUAGCUUUAGGGCUAGCGUCGAGAGAAGAGUUGCGUGAAGGUAGAGCACUGAAUAUGUGAUGGCCCCAUCUCGGGGUACUGAGCAUAAUCAAACUGCGAAUGUCACGCCAACAUGCUCGGCAGUCAGACAGCGGGUGAUAAGGUCCGUUGUCAAGAGGGAAACAGCCCAGACCAUCAGCUAAGGUCCCAAAAUGUAUGCUAAGUGGAAAAGGAUGUGGAGAUGUACAGACAACUAGGAGGUUGGCUCAGAAGCAGCCAUCCUUUAAAGAGUGCGUAACAGCUCACUAGUCGAAUGACUCUGCGCCGAUAAUUUACCGGGGCUAAGCAUACUACCGAAGCUAUGGAUCCCAAGGGAUGGUAGGGGAGCGUUCCAUGAACGGAGAAGUACGACCGAAAGGACGUGUGGAGAUCAUGGAAGAGAGAAUGCCGGUGUGAGUAGCGGAACGUGGGUGAGAAUCCCACGCACCGAAAACCCAAGGUUUCCAGAGGAAGGUUCGUCCGCUCUGGGUAAGUCGGGACCUAAGGCGAGGCCGAAAGGCGUAGUCGAUGGACAACAGGUAGAGAUUCCUGUACCCGUAUAUAUGUGAAGGAAUGACGGAGAGAGGAAGCUGCAGCCAGCGGCUGGAAGAGCUGGUGCAAGCGAGAUAUCGGGAUGGCAGGCAAAUCCACCAUCCGAAACGAGAAGGCGUGAAGCGUACGGAAAGCUACGGCGAGUACGGAAGGCAGUGGAGGAACUUCCAAGAAAAGUUUCUAACGUUAAGUAUAUAUGGCCCGUACCGAAAAUGGACACACAUGGGUGAGGAGAGAAUCCUAAGGUGAGCGAGAGAACUAUAGCUAAGGAACUCUGCAAAAUGACUCCGUAACUUAGGGAGAAGGAGUGCUCAUAGAGAUAUGAGCCGCAGUGAAACGGCCCAAGCGACUGUUUACCAAAAACACAGCUCUCUGCUAAGCCGCAAGGCGAAGUAUAGGGGGUGACGCCUGCCCGGUGCUGGAAGGUUAAGGGGAGGGGUUAACGCAAGUGAAGCCCUGAACUGAAGCCCCAGUAAACGGCGGCCGUAACUAUAACGGUCCUAAGGUAGCGAAAUUCCUUGUCAGGUAAGUUCUGACCC
rnacentral:rRNA from 1 species